ACUCAAAUGAAUUGACGGGGACCCGCACAAGCGGUGGAGCAUGUGGUUUAAUUCGACGCAACGCGAAGAACCUUACCAAGGCAUGACAUACCGAUGACAGAUGUGGAAACACAUCCUCCUUCGGGCAUCGGAUACAGGUGGUGCAUGGUUGUCGUCAGCUCGUGUCGUGAGAUGUUGGGUUAAGUCCCGCAACGAGCGCAACCCUUACUUUCAGUAGCCAUCGGGUUAAGCCGGGUACACUGUAGGGACUGCCGUGGAUAACACGGAGGAAGGUGGGGACGAGGUCAAAUCAUCAUGCCCCUUAAGUCUUGGGCAACACACGUGCUACAAUGGGCGCAACAGAGUGAAGCGAACCGGCGACGGGGAGCAAACCACAAAAAAGCGUCCUCAGUUCGGAUAGCAGUCUGCAACCCGACUGCUUGAAGUCGGAAUCGCUAGUAAUCGCGAAUCAGCAUGUCGCGGUGAAUACGUUCCCGGGUCUUGUACACACCGCCCGU
rnacentral:rRNA from 1 species